rnacentral:rRNA from 1 species
UGUCACAUGAAUUAUAUAUGUGAUACAUCCUGCCCAGUGAAAACUUAAACGGCCGCGGUAUCCUGACCGUGCAAAGGUAGCAUAAUCAUUUGCCUAUUAAUUGUAGGCUAGUAUGAAAGGACACACGCGAAUAAGGCUGUCUUAUUUUAUUUUAUAAAAAUUUAUAUUUAAGUGAAGAAGCUUAAAUUUACUCACAGGACAAGAAGACCCUAUAAAGCUUUACCUUAUUUUAGACUAGAACAAAAAUAUCAGGUUCGGUUGGGGCGACCAAGGAAUACAAAUCAUCCUACUAAAUAUAAGGCUUCCUGGCCUUAGUAAUGAUCCUACAAAUUAGAUCACGGGAUCAAGUUACUUUAGGGAUAACAGGCUAAUUCUUUUAGAGAGUUCAUAUCGAUAAAAGAGUUUGGCACCUCGAUGUUGGCUUAGGAGCUCUUUAUGAUGCAGCAGUCACAAACAGAUGGAUUGUUCAUCCAUUAAUAUCCU